rnacentral:misc_RNA from 1 species
AACAUCGCGCACCUGCGGGAACCUGCGGAGGGAUCAUUAUUGAAUAAACUCGGGUCAGGUUGUUGCUGGCUCUGUGGAGCAAGUGCACAUCUGGCUCGGUUUUCUUUUCCAUCUAUCACCUGUGCACUUUAUGUAGGCUUUUAGAGCAUUUUUCAGCGGAUUCGAUGCUGGUUUGAGGAACCGCCAUGCGUUUUCCUUGUGCUCGGGCCUAUGUUCUUUUUUCAAUAUGCUUCAUUUUUG